GCGGCGGUGGGGAUCGGCUGUGAUCGUUCUGGAGGAACGGCGUUUAACCUCCUGAUGUCCAGCAGGGAUGGUUCCUGAUGAACGACGCUCUGUCGUCCUCGUCCGAACUUCCUCACGAUUGAUCGUUCCCGAAGCACGACGCUCCGAGGUCCGAACCUCCUGAUGACUACUUGUAGUGAUUGUUCGCGAAGAAGAACGAUGCCCCACAGUCCGAACCUCUUGCCUACUUGUAGUGAUCUUUCCCGAAGAACGAUUCUCCGAGGUCCGAACCUGCUGACGACUUGUAGUGAUCGUUCCCGAGGAACGAUGCUCCCCCGUCCGGACCUCUUCGCGAGUUGAAGAGAUCCUUCUUG
rnacentral:lncRNA from 1 species